ACCUAGCUGGCUCAGUUGGUAGAGCGUGUGACUCUUGAUCUUGAGGUUGUAAGUUCCAGCCCUUUGUUGGGUG
rnacentral:tRNA from 1 species